ACGAACGCUGGCGGCAGGCUUAACACAUGCAAGUCGAGCGCCCCGCAAGGGGAGCGGCAGACGGGUGAGUAACGCGUGGGACCGUACCUUUUGGUUCGGAACAACUCCGGGAAACUGGAGCUAAUACCGGAUAAGCCCUAACGGGGAAAGAUUUAUCGCCGAAAGAUCGGCCCGCGUCUGAUUAGCUAGUUGGUGAGGUAACGGCUCACCAAGGCGACGAUCAGUAGCUGGUCUGAGAGGAUGAUCAGCCACACUGGGACUGAGACACGGCCCAGACUCCUACGGGAGGCAGCAGUGGGGAAUAUUGGACAAUGGGCGCAAGCCUGAUCCAGCCAUGCCGCGUGAGUGAUGAAGGCCUUAGGGUUGUAAAGCUCUUUUGUCCGGGAAGAUAAUGACUGUACCGGAAGAAUAAGCCCCGGCUAACUUCGUG
rnacentral:rRNA from 1 species